rnacentral:rRNA from 1 species
UACAGAGGGGGCAAGCGUUGUUCGGAAUUACUGGGCGUAAAGGGCGCGUAGGCGGCCCGCUAAGUCGAACGUGAAAUCCCCGGGCUCAACCUGGGAAUUGCAGUCGAUACUGGGCAGCUCGAGUUCGGUAGAGGGUGACGGAAUUCCCGGUGUAGCGGUGAAAUGCGUAGAUAUCGGGAGGAACAUCGGUGGCGAAGGCAAUCACCUGGGCCUGAACUGACACUGUGACACGAAAGCGUGGGUAGCAAACAGG